UUUCUCAGUCCCUGGGAAUGCUCAUCAUUACAUUGGGCGGCUCUGGAAGCCGGGCAUACGGAAGCAGGCUGCUCCAAAACAUUGCCGGCUCACUUCUCGUGCGUCCUGAUUUCUCUUCCUCUCCAGUUUUGAUCUCACCUUCUGUCAUCGGUGUCAAGACAGACUCCAGCCAGGUUUGGGGAAAUCUGUAUCAUUUCCAGGCAAUGGGCAGAGAAGGAACAGCGCUUUGGGAAUUACUUGUUUAAGAAUGAAUACCAGGCGUCUCCUGCGAAGCUUGACAUGGGAUCUUAAUAUUCUUUGAAACUGUCUGGGACAGAAAAAAUGGUCUCUCUCCCUUUGGGUUGCAAAGACACGGCUGUAUGAGAAGCGAAUGCUAACGGUAUUCACCAUGUUGCUAAAACGUUUGUGCCCAAUGCCUGUCAAUAUAUUUGGACGACCUGUUGGGUGCCAUGCCUGGGUAUUGCUUGCCAUCUUUCAUCUAGCCAUGGAUUUCUCUUCUUGUGAAUCACAGAUUCAGGGUCAGGGGCUCAGCCAGAAUUCAGAGUCGCUCCAUCCAUCGCCACAUCAUAGACUUACCACUGGCCCUCUCUGGGUGUACAAAGAUGCCCAUGUUGGGAGAAUUACAAAAUCUUGGUGGCUCAGAAGGAUUUGGCCUGAAAUCCAUUCUAGAAAGCAAAUAUCAAACAAGCCAACAGGAGUUCACAAACUCAAGUCAAACACAGGUACCCUGUGUACCAACUGUCAAUCCAAACAAUCUAUGUCUUACAAAUUGGACCCUUCAGUCUCUACGGAGAUUAGGGAUUCGGUAAAAUUGACCUCUUUGAAAAGGUCAAGAAGGCAGAGUGAUCAUUUUCCAUUUGAGAAUUUUGAAAAACCCAAAUGCACUUCCUAUGACAGUGAAGGAACAGUGACUGUGAUACCAUGCGCCAUUGAAUGGGGGCCCACUAAAGAGGACCUCACAGAGUUCAGCAUGUUUUCGACUCCGACAAGUCUAUCCACCACUACGUUGACCCUGGUGCCCUCUACGAGAGUGACAACUGCCAGGACCACCCCCACCACCACCACAGCCAGCACGACAUCCACCACUAUGCAAACCACCACAGCCACACUCAGGAGCCCGAAGAUGGUAAUGCCUGAGCCACGCACAACAGAGCCGAAUCUCAGCUGGGAGCUUCGCAACACAGCCAGGCCAUCCCGCAUUGGAGAUACUGGAGGUUUGGCUGUUCACCAGAUCAUCACCAUCACAGUCUCCCUCAUCAUGGUUGUUGCUGCAUUGAUCACAACAUUGGUUUUAAAAAAUUGCUGUGCGGAAAAUGGGAACGGACAUCGGAAUAGUCACCAACGGAAGAUCAACCAACAAGAGGAGAGUUGCCAAAAUCUCACUGAUUUCACCGCUGCACGAGUGCCGAGCAACCUGGAUAUAUUCACUGCAUACAACGAGACCCUUCAGUGCUCCCACGAGUGUGUGCGUGCAUCAAUGCCAGUCUAUGCUGACCAAGGCCUACACCCAACCACUGUUUAUAAAACCACCUUCAAUGGAAACCGAACACCCCCACCUGAACGGCAGCUAAUCCCAGUGCCCUUCGUAUCGGAGAAAUGGUUUGAAAUCUCCUGCUGACUGGUCGAAGGCUCUUACUCCUUGGGGCGGGCAGACAUCACCUUUCUUACUCUUGGAUUCCACUGGUGAAUCUGUAAAAAAAACAAAGAUGUCAACACUUUUUUGCACACCCGUGGGGCAGGGAGUGAACAGAACCCCUUGUUUAUUUUUUUUAAAUGAGAAUGUCUAUAAAAUAGCAUUAUUUUAUGAAGAAGCUGGAGAAAAUAAGGAAAGGCUGCCGAAGGAUUGAACCUUUUUACCAGAACUGGAAGGGGGACCAGCGUCACGGGUGAAGAGAAAAUGACAGCAGUCAAAUUUCGACAAGAUUUGACGACUUUUCAGAAGUGUCUAUAGUGGGGAUAAAAUCUCAUAAACUGGGAUCCACUGCCAACAGUGCCAUUAGAUGCCACGUACUUAGAGACUACAGGCUGGUAUGAUCCACGAACAGAACUAAACUCUUGAAUCAUUUAAUAUUUUUUGUCUGAGAGAAAUAGUAUUGUUUCUUUCUGAAAACAGGACCUACUCAAAGCCAACAGUUCCUAAAGUGGUGUUUGUUGCUUAAGACUGAGACUUGAGGCAAUGGUGAGAAAUAGGAAUGCAGCAAGUUCCAUUUAAAACCAGAGUGUAUAUUCUGUUUAAUGCACUUAACCCUAUAGAUGAUCACAUUUGCAGUUUCCUUUCUAAUUCCCUCUUUAUUCCCGAGUUCACCCACAGUUUCAAAAAUAUUGAGCCUGUGGACAGAGGAGGAGGAGGAUAACCAGCAUCCUGGACUUGCAUUCUCCUCCCUAUUCAACCUUCUCCUCACCUCAGCAUAAACAUUCUAGAUUGGAGCAUCACCUAUAAUUUUGCAUAAAGACAUUGUUGAGCAAAGUUACUAUGACAACAGGCUUGCUCUGGAAGCGCAUUAGAAACAACGCAAUCGACCAAGACACUUUACUGCUCGUGAACCCCAAUACUAUUAAAUCACUAAUUUAAAACAACUGAGGGAAUCAGUGAAUUUCCAUUCCACUCAACAAAGCUUAAUGUUUACUGGAUGAAAUAAAGUAAAUGCAUAUGGUUAAAUAAAAUUUUCUGAAUUUGUCACCAAUUUGGCUUCUGGUAAAAGAUCAAGAACAAAUAAGCUGUCAACCAUUUUAAAAUGCAUCUUGUUAAACAAACUGUACACUCAAAUGUGGAACCUGUGUAACCGAUUGUGUUCUCACAUUACCUUGCUGAUUUUACCAAGCCGACAAAAUGGCAGAGAAUUUUAAUCCUCUAAGGAGCAACAGACUUUUAUAAUUUCUACAAAACUGUUUUCUGUCAUUUUUUUUCCUUAAAAUGGUGUUGUGCAAAUACUUAGAGCUAUGAACACGGAAAUCAAAGCAUCAAGCACACAGGACAAGGAUCUAUGUGUGGCCAAUGUUGACUGAAUAACACGCGCUUUGCAUUGUUUUUGUAGUACACCGAUGCUGUUUAUUGUCUUUGAAAUGGUUCAUAGCCAAUGACAACUGUGUUUUUUUUAGACUACAUGAAUAUAUCAUUUUAAAUUAUACUGUAUAAUAAAAUGAAUUUCAGUUCAGCUACAGGAAGCAUCUAGAAAGGAAUAAGUGGAGCAUAACCAUGGACAGAACUCAUGUUUUCUAAAUGACGUCUCAUUAAACUAUCAAAACCAGUUCAACCUCUUGGAAUUGGGUUUAACCCGAGGGCCUGCAAGCAUUUUCUUUAGAUCUUUUCUCUCUUCUGACUUAUUCCUUUCCAUCCCAAAAGACAUUAUAUCUCCAAGACAACCAUCAACCACCUCCAUGACCUCACCCAAGACCCCAAAUUGAUGCAUCAACAGGCCAUGUAAAACUAGGGACAGUAGUCUUGUUCUUGCUCAACCCCCACUCUACACAUUGUAGACAUUUUGAUAGUGGAAGUGCUGGCUAAAACGUUUGUACCUGCCUAAGCAUAUAAGGGGCUGAUGCCAACAGAAAGAAAGUGGAAAUCUGGAAUUUUCUUCCCCCCCCCCACCACAAAAGAUUGCCCAGUUGAACAUGUCAAAUCUAAGAUUUCAAGAUUCUUGUUAGACAAGGCUAUUGGUUGUAAAAUGUGUUAAAUGUGUACAACAUUUGAGAUCCUUAGACACUAUUGGCAAUUCAACCCUUAACGUCAUGUAAAACACUCAGAAAUUGCCCUCACUUUAUCACCAUGAACUGCUACCAGUAAAAAGCACAAAUUGGAGUACUGUGGGCAACAGCCAUUUCCAGUAGUCUCUAAGGAACAGAAACAGAAGCUUCUGGAAAAGCUCAGCAGGUCUGGCAGCAGCUGUGAAGAGAAAUCAGAGUUAACGUUUUGGGUCUGGUGACCCUUCCUCAGAACUCUGUUGUCCUUAGUUGCAAGCUGAACUCUUGUGGACACACAGUUACAAUAAAGUUAAAUUUGCUAAACUUGGGGAUAGUUUUGACCAAAAUAAAUCAAGCAGAACAGGAAGUCCUCUGGCUAGGAAUCUGAAGAUGUAAAAAUUAUGAGAGGUAUUAGCAUCAUAACAGAUCUGAUUCCAAUCAACCUUUGUAAGGCUGGGAAGCAAGUUUGCAACCACUAUCCUUAAACUUCUGAUAUGGACCUGGAGCACCUAUACACACACCCAUCUUGUACGAUGCAUGAACAGCAUUGAUACCAUCCUGCUGAUAUUGCUAUCAACUCUAAAGGCAUUUAACUCUAAACAUCGGUAUUUGAAACUUACAAUCGAACACAAAUCAAAUGUUUCAAAGAUAAGCACACUGAGGUGGGAAAUACAAUGUCUGCAACAAAUAAUUUCUUUCAGGGAGAAAAUUUGGCUCCAAUACAAGCCUACAGUAAUCUACACCUGCUCAUGGUAGAAGUUUGAAAACCUAUGACAUCGUGUUUCAUCUCAGAGUUUGCUGUUUCUUUAUUAGAAACACAUUCCCACACAAGCUUAGAAGGAGAUACUCAGAUGAUUAAUUAUUUGCCAUCCCAGUGAGUCAUCAUGCUGUGAGAGAAGCUGUUUCAGACAGGAAUCAGAAGGAUCUUUUUUAAUUGAAUAAAAUAUUGUGGCAUUUCGGUGAACGGACCCCCCCCCCCACCUUUGCCUCAACUUAUGACUCAGUGAUUACGGCCAGAGUGUUGCCAUGGGACAGACAUAGAGAUGAUUCAGGUUCAGUUGUUUUUUAUGAAGUGGGUAGAGAUGCUAUCAUAUGAGAGUUCAUGUAGCAUAGUGGUAGUGCCUCUACCUCUGAGUCAGGAGACCUGGGUUCAAGUCCUAUGUCCUUCAGUGAUGUGGACUAAUAUCUCUGAACAGGUUGAUUGGGAAAAUGUCAAGGGGGCUAUAAAUUGCUCAGUAGCCUCUGAGGUCAGGUAGGGAGAGCUGAUUGCUGCUUAACAGUGAAAACAAAAAUAAUGCUGGGUAUCACAGUGGGUCGGGCACAAUCUGUGGAGAGAGUAAGCUAACAUUUCGUGUCUAUAUUAUUGUUUAUCAGAACUGACAUGAAGUGUGGAGCAUAUAUAAGUGAGCAGCAUAUAUGCAACAGAGAUAAUGGGAACUGCAGAUGCUGGAGAAUUCAAGAUAAUAAAGUGUGAACCUGGAUGAACACAUCAGGCCAAGCAGCUGGCCUGCCCUUCAUCAUCUGAUGAAGGGUCUAGGCCCGAAACAUCAGCUUUCGUGUUCCUGAGAUGCUGCUUGGCCUACUGUGUUCAUCCAGCUUCACACUUUAUUAUCUAGCAUAUAUGCAACAGUUGGGGGGCAUGGGUGCAGUGCUGGUGGAGAAAGGCUAUUGAUAGAUUAAGUGAUCAGAAUGUGAGAAUGGCAGACUAAUGGUGUGCCUAAUACCAAGAUGGAAAGAAAAGACAGCCCCACAGUGUUGUGGGUAUGGGAGAGAGGACAUUGUGAGAGAGGAUGCAACAAGUAAAGUUAGAAGAAAGGGAAGGAAUCGGAGUCGGUUCACAAUCUGAAAGUGUUGAACUGAGUGUUAAAUCCAGAAGGUUACAAAGUGCCUAGCCCGAAGAUGAGAUGUUGUUCCUUUAGUUUACACUGUGGUUUGCUGGAACAUUGCAGCAUGCCAAGGGCACAUUUGCUUCUAUGUUCUGUUCAGCAGUUCUCUGUUGGAAGUUGACAUGUGGACGUGCUUAGGUUUGAUCAGGUUAAUCGUAGCUACAAUCCAUUAUAAUUAGAUGGCUGGCCUCAUACAGCCAUUACCAUUUAAGGAUGGCACCGAAGAGUACUCUGGACAUUGGAAUGAGUCAAGUGAGUAAGUCGCCUUGGGAGGAGUAAAAGUUAGUGAUAACCAAAAUUGACCAUUAUUUCAGCUUUUACCCUAUGGCCACUGUGAAACUCAUGCAAGCUUUGUCAUAAUGAUUGAAGAUUUUCCAUGAUGCUUCACCUAUUCCCAAGUGGAAAAGCCACGGAAAUCCUUAAAAAUUCCAUCCAUGCCCUUGAUAUUUUUUUUUGCUUCCUGCAGCCCCUUCCAGAGAUGUUUUUGCAGGCAAACAGAACAGCUACAUUAGAGAUUCACCCCUAUGUGUUCUGGCUUUAUUGCUGAUGAAAAACAUCGGUGUAUUGCUUUCAGUGAUUAGAAAUGCAAAUGUUACUUUCAAACCGCAUUCUCCUGUGCCGUUUUUGAGCUGAUGCCUUUAUUGACGCUGCACAUAAAUUCUAUCAAUGUUAGAACAUUACACCACACUUUGAACAUUUGCAGAUUUGAAGUUUCAGUUGAAAAAGACUGCCAUACCCCUGCCACCUAUCAUCAUGAACAUCCCUCUGCUCCUCAGAUAUAUAUUUUGCAUCAAAAAAUGCCAAAGAAAGGAGUGUGGCUUUUGACCACAAUCACUCCCUUUUUUUUAUGUUUUGGAGAUUUUUGGUGAAGGGGUAGAGAUUGCAGUGCAGGAAAAUGGCUUGGCUGACAAAAGCUGGAGAUUGAGUGAGGGUCAACCAAAAUAAAAGUGUCUAGAUGACACCAAAUUUGGAUUUUGGUGUCUUGAACUUGGGAAGAAGCCGGAUUCAUAAGUCAAUCUGUUCAUUAAGGUUUCACUCAUGCACACCUGACUGGGGCCUUUGCAAUUCCAAUUGACAAAGUGUCAUUGUAGCAAGCAUCACAAAACAGACUUGACUUUUUUUAAUAUACGCUAACAUGUAAAUUCAUUAACACAAUUAUUGGAUGAAGUGUUUACGGGCAAGUGCGCUUUUUGUAUAACUCACCACUUUCAAAGAUUUUAUUUCAACCCUUUGCUGUAUGGGUGUCCCCAUUCACUUUCACAUCCUUUAGGUAUUUUGUCACCCCACCUCCAGUGCAAGAGCCCAGGAAACAUCUUUUGUAGAUGCCUGUAAACAGGUUCUUUUUGGGAACUAGGACUUAUAUUUUCCAUUAAUUGCCUGGGCAAUUGAUUGUAAUGAACUUGUCGCUUAAUUGUAAAGGAGUUGGGGUGAUCUCCAUUUUCCCCCUUCCCCCAUCCAAUUUACCCCCUCCCCCCAGGCAAAAUUGAGAAACUAAUCCAAUACUUUAUAACCGAAGAAGAAUAUAAUAGUGUGAUAUUUGAACAUAAAAGCUAUGGACUUUGAACUUAACCUUGAUGAUCUCUUUGCUCUUAUUUUGUUCAAUGCAAAUUAAUAUAAUAAUAGAUAUACUUUUCAAUCUAUCCAACCCACUUCAGUUCUGAUCCAAGGCAAAGCCAUCAAUUGUGUCCUGGAAGCUAUUUUCUUUUAGCAUGGAAACCCAGGGUUCCAAGUCUUAGAAUGUCUUCCUUAUAUCGUUAUAAAGGAUAUUGAUAAUGAAAAUGGAAUUUGCAAAGGUAGCAUCUCUCCCUAAUUAAAUCUGAUGGAACCCCUUGAGAGUUAACAAUGGAUCUGCAGCUCAAGGCAUUAGUUAUCAUUGUACUGAUGUAGUCAGCCUAUUACUGAGAUUAGGAAAGAAAAGACUGGCGUGAAGAGUUUGUUCAGGACUUGGAAAGCAUUCACUUCCCGUGUUGUUUUACUAAGGUUGCAGGUGUAUACACAUGUAAUGCACUGAUAUCUCUCAAGGUCACUGGAUAAAGAGGUGGCAUAGUGACACAGUGCUAAAAUUGGGGAGUUUGAUUAAACAGAUUGCUGCUCACACUGGACAAUCCUUAAUGUUGAGGAGACCAACACUCUGGAUGCACACACAUCAUUAUGCAAAAUAGCUGACUCACUGCACAAUCUUUUAUGCAAGGGAAUCUCUCUCGCUUGGACAGUCCAUUCUACAGUUUCGUCCCUCCAACUGGAAAAUGCAUUUCACAAUGAGUCUGAUUUACUGCAUCAUUCCCAGGUGAUUGCUCUGACUGGAUAAGGUGCUGUAACAAAAGUGGCCAGUCCACUGGGAGUUCCUUAGACUGAAGAGUGUGUUGCACAGGGUUCGACAUUUCAAAGGGACUCCACAGUGUAUAGAUGCUGCUCAAAGCCAAUUUGCAGACUAAAUUACCCAGGGAAUUGGACAAUGAUAUUCUGAGAUUACUCACUCAAUUGUGGAUGUCAAUAACUAUGAGUAUAAUUGCUUGGGAAAAGCUAGAAGGAAAUAGUGCUACUAUACAGAAUCACAGGUUAUAGAGCUGGAAAAACAUGGUCACAACUUGGGCUGAAAUGAGUUCAGAAAAUUUCCAAUGUAACAGUAAAUCAAACAAUAUCCAUGGGGUUUAGUUGCUUUGACAGUAAAUAUUGCUUAACAUUGUAUUAACGAAAAAGAAUCAAUUAUUUUCCCAAAUUGUAUGGAACAACAUUUUCACACUAUCACUGAAUACCUCUCCUGCAUUUUACAACUAUAAUGUGUGAUUCUAAACGCAGUUUUAAAGUAUUGUGCCAGCUAAUUAAUACUUGUUUUAUCCUUAUAGUAUACAAAAGUAAUAGGCUUAGUGUAAAACAUGGCCUAUAAAUUGCAUCUUCAAUCUGAUUUUGUCUUCUGAAAGUAACGAGUAAAUUACACACUCAGCCAACUUUUAGAUUUUUUUUACUUAAAUGGAACACAGUAAUCUGUAAGAUUAGAGAUUACCAGCAGUAACACUUUCAUUGUGUUCACAUCAGGUGGAUUUGUUUGCUAGUUUAAAUUAAGGCUCUGUCCAAUUUUAAAGGCAAACCCCUCUGUCCACUAUGAUAACAGUCCCAGAUGUUUUUGAAAUAGUGUGGAGAGGAAAUAUGAGUGGAUGCACAUAUAAUAAGAGCAGGCAAUCUCUACUGUUACAGAAAGUGGUUUAUCUAAAUGUACAAAUAAAUUGAGCAGUAAUAAUUGGCGAGGAAGAAACCUUUGCUGUCUACAUCUUUUGUAUUGAAAUCAGCAGCACUUUUUGGUGAGAGAGAGAGAAAAAAAUAUAUAUAUGCAUAUAUAUACAUCUUCCAGUGGGAGCAAAAGUACAUCUUUUUUCUUAAGAAAACAGUUUCAUUGGGGAAUGGAUUCUAUUUUGUCACUGCUGUAAUUCUGAACUGUGUGUUUUGAAUGCACUGUAAACGCAACCUGUAACAAUUCUCUUGUGUAAGUUUAGUACUCUGAUGUUGCUAUUAAACCUGUUUAACAACA